rnacentral:sRNA from 1 species
CCCAGGGCUGCCAUCCGCACAUGGAAUCAUGUGCGGGGCGCCCUGGGCUAUCAUCUUUCGCCCCUCCAGGGCU